rnacentral:rRNA from 1 species
UGGGGAAUAUUGCACAAUGGGCGAAAGCCUGAUGCAGCAACGCCGCGUGAGUGAUGAAGGCCUUCGGGUUGUAAAGCUCUGUCUUUUGGGACGAUAAUGACGGUACCAAAGGAGGAAGCCACGGCUAACUACGUGCCAGCAGCCGCGGUAAUACGUAGGUGGCAAGCGUUGUCCGGAUUUACUGGGCGUAAAGGAUGCGUAGGCGGAUUUUUAAGUGAGAUGUGAAAACCCUAAGCUUAACUUGGGGACUGCAUUUCAUACUGGAAAUCUAGAGUGCGGGAGAGGAGAAUGGAAUUCCUAGUGUAGCGGUGAAAUGCGUAGAGAUUAGGAAGAACACCAGUGGCGAAGGCGAUUCUCUGGACCGUAACUGACGCUGAGGCAUGAAAGCGUGGGUAGCAAACAGGAUUAGAUACCCUGGUAGUCCACGCCGUAAACGAUGAGUACUAGGUGUAGGAGGUAUCGACCCCUUCUGUGCCGCAGUUAACACAAUAAGUACUCCGCCUGGGAAGUACGAUCGCAAGAUUAAAACUCAAAGGAAUUACGGGGGUCAUAGCUGUUUUU